rfam:Rattus norvegicus chromosome 9, whole genome shotgun sequence.
GGGGAUUUAGCUCAGUGGUAGAGCACUUGCCUAGCAAGCACAAAGCCCUGGGUUCGGUCCUCAGCUCCA